rnacentral:rRNA from 1 species
CCUACGGGUGACAGCAGUGGGGAAUAUUGCACAAUGGGGGAAACCCUGAUGCAGCGACGCCGCGUGAGUGAAGAAGUAUUUCGGUACGUAAAGCUCUAUCAGCAGGGAAGAAAAUGACGGUACCUGACUAAGAAGCCCCGGCUAACUACGUGCCAGCAGCCGCGGUAAUACGUAGGGGGCCAGCGUUAUCCGGAUUUACUGGGUGUAAAGGGAGCGUAGACGGCAGCGCAAGUCUGGAGUGAAAUCCCAUGGCUUAACCAUGGAACUGAGUUGGAAACUGUGCAGCUAGAGUGCAGGAGAGGUAAGCGGAAUUCCUAGUGUAGCGGUGAAAUGCGUAGAUAUUAGGAGGAACACCAGUGGCGAAGGCGGCUUACUGGACGGUAACUGACGUUGAGGCACGAAAGCGUGGGGAGCAAACAGGAUUAGAUACCCUAGUAGUC